GUAGUUGUGGCCGAGUGGUUAAGGCAAUGGACUAGAAAUCCAUUGGGGGUUUCCCCACGCAGGUUGAAAUCCUGUCAACUACA